GGGUUGUGAGGUUAAGCGACUAAGCGUACACGGUGGAUGCCCUGGCAGUCAGAGGCGAUGAAGGACGUGCUAAUCUGCGAUAAGCGUCGGUAAGGUGAUAUGAACCGUUAUAACCGGCGAUUUCCGAAUGGGGAAACCCAGUGUGAUUCGUCACACUAUCAUUAACUGAAUCCAUAGGUUAAUGAGGCGAACCGGGGGAACUGAAACAUCUAAGUACCCCGAGGAAAAGAAAUCAACCGAGAUUCCCCCAGUAGCGGCGAGCGAACGGGGAGCAGCCCAGAGCCUGAAUCAGUGUGUGUGUUAGUGGAAGCGUCUGGAAAGGCGCGCGAUACAGGGUGACAGCCCCGUACACAAAAAUGCACAUACUGUGAGCUCGAUGAGUAGGGCGGGACACGUGGUAUCCUGUCUGAAUAUGGGGGGACCAUCCUCCAAGGCUAAAUACUCCUGACUGACCGAUAGUGAACCAGUACCGUGAGGGAAAGGCGAAAAGAACCCCGGCGAGGGGAGUGAAAAAGAACCUGAAACCGUGUACGUACAAGCAGUGGGAGCCUCUUUAUGGGGUGACUGCGUACCUUUUGUAUAAUGGGUCAGCGACUUAUAUUCUGUAGCAAGGUUAACCGAAUAGGGGAGCCGAAGGGAAACCGAGUCUUAACUGGGCGUUAAGUUGCAGGGUAUAGACCCGAAACCCGGUGAUCUAGCCAUGGGCAGGUUGAAGGUUGGGUAACACUAACUGGAGGACCGAACCGACUAAUGUUGAAAAAUUAGCGGAUGACUUGUGGCUGGGGGUGAAAGGCCAAUCAAACCGGGAGAUAGCUGGUUCUCCCCGAAAGCUAUUUAGGUAGCGCCUCGUGAAUUCAUCUCCGGGGGUAGAGCACUGUUUCGGCAAGGGGGUCAUCCCGACUUACCAACCCGAUGCAAACUGCGAAUACCGGAGAAUGUUAUCACGGGAGACACACGGCGGGUGCUAACGUCCGUCGUGAAGAGGGAAACAACCCAGACCGCCAGCUAAGGUCCCAAAGUCAUGGUUAAGUGGGAAACGAUGUGGGAAGGCCCAGACAGCCAGGAUGUUGGCUUAGAAGCAGCCAUCAUUUAAAGAAAGCGUAAUAGCUCACUGGUCGAGUCGGCCUGCGCGGAAGAUGUAACGGGGCUAAACCAUGCACCGAAGCUGCGGCAGCGACACUAUGUGUUGUUGGGUAGGGGAGCGUUCUGUAAGCCUGCGAAGGUGUACUGUGAGGUAUGCUGGAGGUAUCAGAAGUGCGAAUGCUGACAUAAGUAACGAUAAAGCGGGUGAAAAGCCCGCUCGCCGGAAGACCAAGGGUUCCUGUCCAACGUUAAUCGGGGCAGGGUGAGUCGACCCCUAAGGCGAGGCCGAAAGGCGUAGUCGAUGGGAAACAGGUUAAUAUUCCUGUACUUGGUGUUACUGCGAAGGGGGGACGGAGAAGGCUAUGUUGGCCGGGCGACGGUUGUCCCGGUUUAAGCGUGUAGGCUGGUUUUCCAGGCAAAUCCGGAAAAUCAAGGCUGAGGCGUGAUGACGAGGCACUACGGUGCUGAAGCAACAAAUGCCCUGCUUCCAGGAAAAGCCUCUAAGCAUCAGGUAACAUCAAAUCGUACCCCAAACCGACACAGGUGGUCAGGUAGAGAAUACCAAGGCGCUUGAGAGAACUCGGGUGAAGGAACUAGGCAAAAUGGUGCCGUAACUUCGGGAGAAGGCACGCUGAUACGUAGGUGAAGUCCCUCGCGGAUGGAGCUGAAAUCAGUCGAAGAUACCAGCUGGCUGCAACUGUUUAUUAAAAACACAGCACUGUGCAAACACGAAAGUGGACGUAUACGGUGUGACGCCUGCCCGGUGCCGGAAGGUUAAUUGAUGGGGUUAGCGGUAACGCGAAGCUCUUGAUCGAAGCCCCGGUAAACGGCGGCCGUAACUAUAACGGUCCUAAGGUAGCGAAAUUCCUUGUCGGGUAAGUUCCGACCUGCACGAAUGGCGUAAUGAUGGCCAGGCUGUCUCCACCCGAGACUCAGUGAAAUUGAACUCGCUGUGAAGAUGCAGUGUACCCGCGGCAAGACGGAAAGACCCCGUGAACCUUUACUAUAGCUUGACACUGAACAUUGAGCCUUGAUGUGUAGGAUAGGUGGGAGGCUUUGAAGUGUGGACGCCAGUCUGCAUGGAGCCGACCUUGAAAUACCACCCUUUAAUGUUUGAUGUUCUAACGUUGGCCCCUGAUCGGGGUUGCGGACAGUGUCUGGUGGGUAGUUUGACUGGGGCGGUCUCCUCCUAAAGAGUAACGGAGGAGCACGAAGGUUGGCUAAUCCUGGUCGGACAUCAGGAGGUUAGUGCAAUGGCAUAAGCCAGCUUGACUGCGAGCGUGACGGCGCGAGCAGGUGCGAAAGCAGGUCAUAGUGAUCCGGUGGUUCUGAAUGGAAGGGCCAUCGCUCAACGGAUAAAAGGUACUCCGGGGAUAACAGGCUGAUACCGCCCAAGAGUUCAUAUCGACGGCGGUGUUUGGCACCUCGAUGUCGGCUCAUCACAUCCUGGGGCUGAAGUAGGUCCCAAGGGUAUGGCUGUUCGCCAUUUAAAGUGGUACGCGAGCUGGGUUUAGAACGUCGUGAGACAGUUCGGUCCCUAUCUGCCGUGGGCGCUGGAGAACUGAGGGGGGCUGCUCCUAGUACGAGAGGACCGGAGUGGACGCAUCACUGGUGUUCGGGUUGUCAUGCCAAUGGCACUGCCCGGUAGCUAAAUGCGGAAGAGAUAAGUGCUGAAAGCAUCUAAGCACGAAACUUGCCCCGAGAUGAGUUCUCCCUGACUCCUUGAGAGUCCUGAAGGAACGUUGAAGACGACGACGUUGAUAGGCCGGGUGUGUAAGCGCAGCGAUGCGUUGAGCUAACCGGUACUAAUGAACCGUGAGGCUUAACCUUACAACGCCGAAG
rnacentral:rRNA from 1 species